UACGGAGGGGGCUAGCGUUGCUCGGAAUUACUGGGCGUAAAGGGCACGUAGGCUGGCUGUUAAGUCGGUGGUGAAAUGCUGAGGCUCAACCUCAGAAUUGCCUUCGAUACUGACGGUCUUGAGUGCGGGAGAGGUGAGUGGAAUUCCCAGUGUAGAGGUGAAAUUCGUAGAUAUUGGGAAGAACACCAGUGGCGAAGGCGGCUCACUGGCCCGCAACUGACGCUGAGGUGCGAAAGCGUGGGGAGCAAACAGG
rnacentral:rRNA from 1 species